AACGAACGCUGGCGGCAUGCCUAACACAUGCAAGUCGAACGAGACCUUCGGGUCUAGUGGCGCACGGGUGCGUAACGCGUGGGAACCUGCCCUUAGGUUCGGAAUAACUCCCCGAAAGGGGUGCUAAUACCGGAUAAUGUCUUCGGACCAAAGAUUUAUCGCCUUUGGACGGGCCCGCGUUGGAUUAGCUAGUUGGUAGGGUAAAAGCCUACCAAGGCGACGAUCCAUAGCUGGUCUGAGAGGAUGAUCAGCCACACUGGGACUGAGACACGGCCCAGACUCCUACGGGAGGCAGCAGUGGGGAAUAUUGGACAAUGGGCGAAAGCCUGAUUCAGCAAUGCCGCGUGAGUGAUGAAGGCCUUAGGGUUGUAAAGCUCUUUUACCCGGGAUGAUAAUGACAGUACCGGGAGAAUAAGCUCCGGCUAACUCCGUG
rnacentral:rRNA from 1 species